CAAGACAGGCAUCUGACUUUCUAGUGUCUAGAACAAGGUCAUAGAAGCACAUGUUCGACCAUUAUGGCUGCCGAAAGGGAAGCUGGCCCCUUCAGAAUCAUCUAGAGAAACCCUUCUGGAUGUAUCUGUUUACAGUGAGAGAGGGAGUAACAACUGGAAAAGAAAGAUGGGAAGUGUGUAGCGAGGGAAGGAGCUUGACUGAGUUUACAGUUGUGGACAAGGUAAAUAGGAAAUAUAACAGCUGUUGUUGAAGACAUUAGCACUGUGUUGGUUUGAAUGAGAAUGUCCCCAUACUAUUGGACAUUUGAUCACUAGUUGGUGGCCCCCUAGAGAGGUUUACAAGGCGUGGCUUAGAUGAGGGAAGUACAUCAGUGGGGUGCAGGCUUUCAGAAUUCAGACUCAGCAGUUCCAAGUCUGUCCUCUGCUUCCUGCUUGCCAUUCAAGAUGUGAACCCUCAGAAUCCUGCUCCAGCUUCCCCGCCUGCCCCUUCUCCACGAUGAGGGACUCUUAUCCUUCUGGAACCAUAAGCCCCUGUAACCCUUUCUUCUAUACCUUGAUCACAGGGUUUUCUUACAGCAAUAGAAAAACAACGAAUGUAAGAACCAUUAAGGAGAGACCAUUCGCCUUGUACUGGGCCAAUAGGAGAAAUGCCCUGAUGUCAAGAAUAUCCACCAAAGGCUUUAACUUGUGGAAAUGUAAAUUCAUCUGAAUGGAGAGAACCUGAACGGAGAACAGCACCACAGAGGAUUCCUGCUAAAAAUCAGUUGCUCAGAGUGGUGCUUCCUAGGGUUAGCCCUUGGAGGCACACAGAGGCAGAUGCAGAUCAGGGGGCCAGGAUACAUCUCAAGCUGACAGCAGGACUUGGGAGCCUUAGCCACAGGAAACUGCUCUUUUUCUGCCAGGCUUGACAGAGGCAAGAUUGAGGGAGUCAUGGAGACUUGCACUAAGGUUCCUGACAACUGCUGGGGCCAGGUAAUGUGUCACAAGGUACAGUUAUCUGAUAGGCCAUUACAAAACAUGGUGAAGGUGAAGCCUAAGUUACAUUGGAGACUGCAGGACAUUGGAGAUGCCAGGAUCAUGGGCUGUGGAGUAGAGUUGGUCAAAGAGAGGUAACAUUUACUGCGAGUUACAGAACUGGAGGAGUGAGUCUACCUAAGGCUAUUGGAGUCCAGAUAAUUUUAUUAUGAGCCCCAUAUGCUACAAAUGUAGUUGGAGUAUUUGCCUGCUGGGCACUGGUGUAACAUCUGGGAGGUGUGGCCUAGCUGAAGGAAGUUAGGUCAAUGGUGACAUUUCCUGGGAUGGAAUUUGGGAGAGUCAGCCUCUUUCUUUUUCUCUUUGGCUUCCUGGCCACCCUGGGUGAGUGGACUCUUCUGCCAUGUGUGCCUCCUUUUCCCUAUUUGAUGUUAUAUACUUCACUGCAGGCUGAGAAUGAUGGGUCUAAGCUCCCACAGACUAGAAGUCUGCAAAACCAUGAUCCAAAACGAAUCAGCUAUUAUAGCGAUAUAAAGCUACUUAGCAAAUUGACUUUUUAUUAAAGGGUGAAAAUUUAAGUUUACACACUCAAAUGGAAGAUUAGCUUUGAUUUAUAGAAGAUAUGUGUGGUAGUCUGAAUAUAAUUGCCCCCCCCCCAUAAUCUCAUAGGGAGUGGCACUAUUAGGAGGUAGGGCUUUUUUGGAGUGGAUGUGGCCUUGUGUGGAAGUGUGUCACUGUGGGAAUGGGCUUUGAGGUUUCCUAUGCUCAGGAUACUGCUCAGUGUCUCAGUUGACUUCGUGUUGCCUACAAGAUGCAGGACUCCUAGCUUCAGCACCUCCCUGCUCCCUGCCAUGAUGAUAAUGGACUGAAUCUCUGAAACUGUAAGCUGCAACCCCAUUUAAAUGUUUUUGCUAUAAGAGUUGCCUUGGCCAUGGUGUCUUCAGAGCAAUGGAAGCCCUAAUUAAGACAAAAUGCAACUUUAAAAAGCCCAUAUAAAUCCAGGGAAAAUAGUUGUGGUGAUAUCUUGCUUGUACAAAUAAAGCCUGUCUGAAGCUCAGAGAAUGGAGCUUGCCUCUAGCUAACCAUAGAGUUCUGGAGGUCUGUACAGACAGACAGGAAGUGAUAUAGCUGGACGGAAACAGGAUAUAAGCAGGGAGAGACAGGGACUUGCUCUCAUCUAAGAAGGUAAGGUGUGGCUGUAGCUUGUUAUUUCUCUCUCAUCAUCUUCCUCUGUAUUUGACUCCGGGUUUUUAUUACUUAGACCAAUCAAGAACUUCAUUUGCAAAUAGUGACGGCAAGGGGUUGCAAUCUAACUGACUGACCGCUGGCUUGGUCAAUAGUACUCUGGGAAUUAGACAGCUGGAGUUCAGCAAGGCAAAUCCAUCAGCAUGCAGGCUUUCAUGAAGAUGGAACUCUGAGUGUCUAUAAAGAAAAAAGGGUAAAUAGUGUCCACUCACCAUUAAUUUGCUGGGUGGUGGUGGUGCAUGCCUUUAAUGCCAGUUCUUGGAAAGCAGAGUCAGGCAGAUCUCUGAGUUCGAGGCCAGGCUGGUCUACAGAGAAAGUUCCAGGCCAACCAGGGCUGCACAGAGAAACCCUGUCUUGAGAAAACCAAAAUAAAAUAAUUUUAUGUGUGUGUGUGUGUGUGUGUGUGUGUGUGUGUGUGUGUGUGUGUGUGCAUGCUCACAUGUCUGUGCACAUGCAUGCAUACUAACACAUGCCAAAGCAUGCAUGUGAAGGUCAGAAUACACCUUUGUGGAGUCAGUUCUUCUGGGUUUUAGGAAUCAAACCCAGUCAAUAGCCCUGUGCGGUUAAGUGCCUUUACCUGCUGAGCCAUAUACCAUGUCCCCUUAUAUAUUUUUACAUGUUAGAAUUCUUUCUUCCCCUUUGACUUGCUUUUUCUUAAUAAAUAAAUAAAAAUUAUGAUAGGAAGAAACACAGUUUUUGAGAUUUAAUCAGCGGCUUAAAGAAACAGCAAGUCAGAGUUAGGCAGCAGCCAGAGACUCUCAGUAGGAGCGAGUGUUGGUAGGGCCAUCUACCUCCUCCAGGGUGACACCUUCCUGCCUUCCUUCUCUGAUCCACAUUCUAUCUAGCUCCCUAGUGCUCAUAUCCACUCUCCUGGAUACUGUACUUUUUCUCCCUCCAUCACUUUGCUUGCCUUCUCUGAACCUUCAGUGCUUUUAGAACUGGCUAUGACCAGUACCAAGUUCUGACAGCAAGAUAAAAGCCAAGAUGACUGUAAACAACAGUCGGCAUCUGUCUGAAACGCAUCUUCUGUAACUUCAGAGGCUGUGAAAGUGUGCAGGACUGGGCAGUACAUUCUGAGUCUCUUCUUUUUGAGACCAAGUCUCACUGUGAGACUCGAGUUGGACUGAAGCCCCCUGUGUAGAACAGCCUGGUUUUGAACUCACGGAGAUUUGCCUGCCUCUGUCUCCUGAGUGCUAGGAUUAAAGGAGUGUGCCACCACACCUGACUCCUACCAAUUUUUAAGGCAUCCCUUUUUAAUGUAGGCUUAACUUCUUCUACCUGUCACUCUGUCACUUCCCCUCUCCCACUGCCCUGAUUUCAUCUUCAGAGCAACCCAGAACAUACUGAAUGCUUUCUUCAUGAGACCGAGGUCAGGCAUUUACAGGACACCUUCCUAUCCCUAGUGAAUUUUUCUCCCAUCCCCAGUUCUUUAGGUGGCUAUCCUUGACCUUUGGUUAUAUGCCGUCUGUUUAAGUGGCUUCUGAAGGUGGCCCUAGUCCCCAGGUGUGGCCCCAAGUACAAAGAAUAGACCCUCCCAUUAUCUUCAACUUGUCUUCAAAUAAGACUGCGCUGUCCACUCACUUGGGCUUCCAGUCAUGCUUCCAAUAAACUACAUUUUCCACAUGCUAUUUGUUUUUCUAUAUAAACCACAUAAGUGGAGCUAUUUUCUGACCCAAGUAUAUUUUAUGUUUCUGAAGCAAGUCAAGGACCUUUAAUAUCUAUUCUCUUAAUUUUUUUUUUUUUUUUACCAUGUUAGAUCUGCCCACUACUGUGGAUUUUAAAGGCAUUUUUGGGGAGCCUAAUUUAAUCACUCAAUCAUUUGGUCGCCCCCUGCCUACAUCAUGCCACUGGAACUUUAUUAACCUGUGCAGAUGCUCUGGUCCAUGUGUGGGAGGAAACAGUCUCAGACUGAACAAGACAGAGUUGUCAUCAGAUUCUGGGGCCUUCCACUGCACCAUGUCUGCUUGACUCUGUGGACAGCACUGUGGGAGAUUGCUCUUCUAGUGAAUGAUCUACUCUGGAUGCUCUUUGCAGGGGUCCAACUCUGAAGGCCAUGCAGGUGACUGUAUCACCAGGAUUCGAGCCCCACACGGUCAACUUGGAGCACCACAUCUGCCUGCACCUCUUAGUCAGUCUGCAGAUGUCCCUGGACUAAAACCUGGGAGGAGGCUGUCAGGGGUACCUGAACCCCAAUCUUUUUUUUUUUUUUUUAAAUACAUUUUAAAAAGAAUUUAAAUGAGAAUCUUGUUUUACAUGUUAAUCCCAGUACCCUCCCCUUCCUUCCUUCCCCCCACCUCCCAUCCCCUUUCUGCUCCCCAAGGAGUGUGAGGCCUUCCAUAGGGGAAUCUUCAAAGUCUGUCAUUAUUUGGAGCAGGGCCUAGGCCCUCCCCGUGUGUCUAGGCUGAGAGAGUAGCCCUCUAUGUGGAGAGGGCUCCCAAAAUCCAUUUGUACACUAGGGAUUAAUACUAAUCAGCUACCAGAGGCCCCAUAGGUUGCCCAGGCCUCCUAAUUGACACCCACUAUCAGGGGGUCUCACUCGGUCCUAUGCUGGUUUCCCAGCUAUCAAUCUGGGGUCCAUGAGCUCCCCCUUGUUUGGCUGACCCCCAAUCUUACUGCACUCCAUGCUCUUACUAGAUUGCUUUUUUCUUUUGUGCUGGGGCUGAAGCCCAGGAGUUCGUGCAUGUUAGGUGAAGGCACUACCACAGAGAGAGUUACAUCCCCAGAUCCACUAUUUCCUUUUUAUCCCAGACCCUAGUGGUUUUGUCUCUGCCAUAUAAAACAUAAAGUAGUCAUGCUAAUGGUGAUUGGCUCCCAGUAACACAUACAUUAUCAUAUACCCCAGCUUCCUGUUGCAGUCUGCAGAUCUGCUCCAAGUCACACUGCCACCAAAGUCAACACCAGACUCCCUUUGGUCUGGGGUUUCAGAACUGAUUUUACCCAUUCUUUACUCUCACAGUACCACACCUCUGCCAUCUCUUGUUUCACACAGUUUUCUCCAGCAUCCUCAGUAAGAGUUAAUCUGCUUCCUUUACAGGAUCGCUCAGAUCUCUGGAUAAUACCCUUGUGCACUUGGAAGCUUGGCUGAUAAUACUGCAUAUGGGUACAUGCUUGGGGCUUGGUUCCUUCGUAGCAGGUAAUGGCAGCGCUGUCCCUCUGUCAGUUAAAAAUCCUUAGUUGGAAAACACUUUGUUCCUUGUUAGGUUUUAAAAAUGUUUUUGUUUUUAACUUCUUCCUGGGUUAAUGGAUCCAAAUUAGGAGUUUAUAAUUUUUAAAUUACAUUAACUUAUUCAUUGUGUGUCUAAUGUACAUGACAGGAUAUGGAGGUCAGAGGACUUACGGGAGUCGGUUCUCUCCUUGCAUCGUGUGGAUCUGAGGUCAGACUCAGGCUGGCAGGUUCGGCUGCAAUCCCCUUUGACUUCAAGUAAUUCUGCUGGCCUGAAAUUGCAAUUUUUAAUAAAAAUUCCCCCUUAACAAAUGAUUAACCGGGAGAAUUUUUUUCUACUAGCCAUUUUCCCUUUGCCAUGUUAAUUAAAACAUGUACUUUGAGGUAGUAGAUUCCAGGAGAAGUUUGCCAUGUUCCUUCCUUUAUUGCAUGUAACUAACCCUUUUGUGCUUAACAAUUUUGCAUCUGGUGGAGAGUUAAGCCACCGUUAACUUCCUGUCUCUGACAUUCAGCUUGGUGCUUGGUGUUGCUUUGCUGUGUACGUCUUAGUCCCGGAUCCUCUGUGCCCUGGUUUGUACCCUGCGCCGUUUCUGUCCUCAGUGGAGGCUUUCUUCUUCCACAAUUUAAUUUUUCAAAAUGCAACUUUAGAUUGCAAAAUGCAGACCCCAACAAAACCUCUGUGUUUUGCUCACAGUGUGCUAGGUGGCAUCUCGUUUUCAGGGUGUGUUGUGUUGUGGUCUACCUGCUGAUGAAGCAUCUCUGUUGUUCUCGGUAAAUGAAAGGCAAACAUUUCCACCCAUUAGUGCUUGGAAGUAAAGAAGAGGAGCCUCUUGGGUGCUCAGCACAUCUCUGAUGAGAUAAGUGUGCAGUAGAUUUAUAGUUCAUUCGGCUUGGUCAAGAGACUCACAUGAGGGGGUUUUGUAUUUUCAAUUGUUUGGUGAUGAUUUCUUCAGUUUUUUUUUUUUAAAUUUGGCGCCACUCAAUAUAUGAAAUUUGACCUUGUACAGGGAAAAUUUCUGGAAAUCAGAUCUUUCUUUUAUUCCAAGUAGAAGGAACCUCUUUGCUAUCAAACACAGAAGACUAUAUUUAGACUGAUAUCAAUAAACAAAAAUUUCAGAUCAUCCAUAUGACUGCUGUCCGGAUCCUGCAAACUUCCAGCAAGCAUGAAAUAACUCAGAUGAGUUAUGAAAAAGCCUCUCCCCAAAGCAAAUGAACUAUUGCCAGAACACGAACAAAAAGAGGGUCUUAUGCUCGGCUUGUAUGUGAAGGGAAACGAAGGACAGCAAUUUGCAAUUUUGGAACAUUCUUUUUCCUGCAGCAGGAUUCAAAGCAAGCUGGACUCCUUCCAUCAGUCAUCAGUGCGUUGUUCAGGAAAACAGUCUGUCCUAAGGAACUGGAAUUGUCUUCCAGGCAACAAACAUAAACACUCCAGAAACGUGACUUCAUCAUCAAAGGCAAUCGUGAUAAAUUAGAAACACCGUACACUUUAAUAUUUAAGCUAUAACUUGCAUGGAAAAACCCAUACCUUUUAGUCCACAGUACUUCGGAGUUUUGACAAUUCAGAGCCAUGUGGUUAAAACCACAAUUAAGACACAGAUUAGAUCUGUUAGUUACAAGAUUCCCUUGUGCCCUUUCGAAGAUGGCUCCUCUCCCCAACUCCUGCCUGGCCACCACUGGUCCAUUUUCUGUGCCUGGUUUUUGUGUCAUCCAGGAUGUUGGAUGAGUGACAUCAUGGACACAGACAGCUUUUUUAUUUUUUUAAAGAUUUAUUUAUUUAUUUAUUAUGUAUACAGUGCUCUGUCUGCAUAUAUGCCUGCAGGCC
rnacentral:lncRNA from 1 species